UACGUAGGGUGCAAGCGUUGUUCGGAUUCAUUGGGCGUAAAGGGUGUGUAGGUGGCGCCGUAAGUCGGGUGUGAAAUUUCGGAGCUUAACUCCGAAACUGCAUUCGAUACUGCGGUGCUUGAGGACUGGAGAGGAGACUGGAAUUCAUGGUGUAGCAGUGAAAUGCGUAGAGAUCAUGAGGAAGACCAGUGGCGAAGGCGGGUCUCUGGACAGUUCCUGACACUGAGACACGAAGGCCAGGGGGAGCAAACGGG
rnacentral:rRNA from 1 species